UAACCAUGGUGAGGACACUGAUUUAACAAAUCCUUGAACCGUUCCCAAACUUGAUACAGAGUUUCAUUGUCCUUUUGGGUAAAGGU
rnacentral:snoRNA from 1 species